GAGCACUUGAUACUAACCGAGCCAUCGGUGUCCCCAGCCUGGGGACACCCUGUGAUCGCUGGGUCUGCAAAGUGCCACAGCAAAACAAGCCAUGCAGUGUUUAAGCUCAGUGUGUGAAGGAACACACUGGGUUAUAACUCAGAGGCACAGAA
rnacentral:snoRNA from 1 species